rnacentral:ncRNA from 1 species
UGAAUUCCGAGGAACGGAUGAGUAAAUCGGUACGCCCAUUACAGAGAGCCGGAACGAGCUGAAAGCCGGUAUGGAGCGUUUGAUUGAAUAUGGUCCGGGAGGAACUGUGUUCGAGCGGGAACUGCAAUUGAGGUUCACGUAAGAUAACGGCGUGUUCCAGCGUUAAUGGACAGUUCCCGAGAGGGAACUGGCGAAGCCUGAUCUCUGUGAAGAGACAGGAAAUUUGGGUGGUAUCGCGUGAGUUAUACUCUCGCCCCAUUA